AUAUAUAUAUAUAUAUAUAUAUAUGUGUGUGUGUGUGUGUGUGUGUGUAUAUAUAUAUAUCACACACACACACACACACACACACACACACACAUAC
rnacentral:miRNA from 11 species